rnacentral:rRNA from 1 species
CUAAGAAUAUUCCGCAAUGGACGAAAGUCUGACGGAGCGACGCCGCGUGGAUGAAGAAGGCCGAAAGGUUGUAAAGUUCUUUUGUUGGGGAAGAAUAACCAUGGGAGGGAAUGCCCGUGGGAUGACAUGAACCGACGAAUAAGCCCCGGCUAACUACGUUCCAGCAGCCGCGGUAACACGUAGGGGGCGAGCGUUGUUCUGAAUUACUGGGCGUAAAGGGCAUGUAGGCGGUCUUGUAAGCUUGGCGUGAAAGACCACGGCUCAACCGUGGGAUUGCGUUGAGAACUGCGAGGCUUGAGUGACGGAGAGGGAGCUAGAAUUCCUGGUGUAGGGGUGGAAUCUGUAGAGAUCAGGAAGAAUACCAAUGGCGAAGGCAAGCUCCUGGCCGAUGACUGACGCUGAGGGGCGAAAGUGUGGGGAUCAAACAG